rnacentral:rRNA from 1 species
GACGAACGCUGGCGGCGUGCUUAACACAUGCAAGUCGAACGAGCGGCGGACGGGUGAGUAAUGUCUGGGAAACUGCCUGAUGGAGGGGGAUAACUACUGGAAACGGUAGCUAAUACCGCAUACCAUCAGAUGUGCCCAGAUGGGAUUAGCUAGUGGGUGGGGUAAUGGCUCACCUAGGCGACGAUACCUAGCUGGUCUGAGAGGAUGACCAGCACAACUGGAACUGAGAACCGGUCCAGACUCCUACGGGAGGCAGCGGUGGGGAAUAUUGCACAAUGGGGGCAAGCCUGAUGCAGCCAUGCCGCUGGUGUGAAGAAGGCCUUCGGGUUGUAAAGCACUUUCAGCGAGGAGGCGUUACUCGCAGAAGAAGCACCGGCUAACUCCGUGCCAGCAGCCGCGGUAAUAC